UGAAUGAAAUUCAGCAAGAAUGUUUAUUAUGAAAAGUUUAUUCUAACCCAUGCAUGAAUUAGGAUGCAAGGGUCGUGCUCGGGCAACUGCCCACAGUGCAGGCUAAUAUGUCUCUAUAAUCACGGGAUAUUCUAAAAGAGUCAUAAACCUUCCCAUCACUGCUCUUCUUAUACUCAAACAAUAGAUUUGAAUGAUCAAAUGCAGUAAGUUUAACGAAUCCAUAAUCAUAGUCUCUAUAUAAACUCCAAGUCGUUUGGAGAGGGGUAAAUUCUGCAAGGCCUGCUCCUCCUCCACCAGCCACUACAUGUAUUGUGCCAUUCAGCGUGCCCUUAUAAUAAUUCUUCUCUUUGUUGGUGCAAAUAUUCUGUGGCAGCAGAAUAUUGACAGUUCAGUUGUUAGCUAAGAGAACUGUAAUUUUUAAACCUUGAUUUUCAAUAACUGAAAUGAAAAGCAAUAAAGAAAACUAAAGGGAAAAUUUACAUACAUGACUAGGUCACAUUCAAACUUAAAAGCAUAAAGGCAGCCAUAUUCUGUAAUUUCUCUCUCUCUUUUUUUGGUUGUUUAAGCCCUAAUGGAAAAAAAAACCAAUGGUGGAAUGUGGAAAAGACAAAUAUGAGUUGCUUUGGAGUUUUUCCCUAUUCGCAUUUUCCCUUUGGCUGAGAUAAAAUACCUUAUAAAUAGUCGAAUGCCAUCAUAAUUCAGCUUAUCAGAAAACAAAUGAGGCAAAGAAAAUGAUAUCUGUUUCUUUGACAUUAGCUAAAACUGAAUUAGUAACUGAUUUCUAUUUCUUUGAAAUUAGCUUAAACUGAAUUCCUUAGUAGGCAAAAAUGCGGCAAUGAAACAGUGCGUAGUUCUUCAGUGCUUCAAAUUGGAAUAAUACCUGGUAUAUAGGACAUGUCCUUUCAUAAUUGUGCACAUGGCCAUAGAUGGCAAUGUCAACCUUGUACUUCUGCCAGAGUUUUUGAAGACUUUCUCUCCCCAUCGGCUCUGCAAAUGAUCCGUCUACGGCAUAGAAUAUACCAGAAGAAUAGCCAAGAACCCUAUGUGCAAGAAAGAUCAACCAUGGUUGCUUUUGCCUGUCAACAGAUGCCAGGCAAUGCUCGAUGAACUUGUAUUGCUCAGUUCCCUCUCUCCAAUCAUGUUCAGUGUCAGCUACACAAAAUCGGAACAUGCCAUAGUCGGUAGAGUACCUGGUAAUAAAAAUUAUGACUUUCAUCAAUAUAUCCCACAACAUAAGGAAACAAGUUGACAAAGCAAAUUAAGAAAUAAAAGAAUAAUCUGUUAGGUCCUUUUGUAUUAGUUCUCACAGAUUAUUAUGCUUGCAAAUAAUCUCAGACACUGAAUCCUAUAUGAUUAAGUAUUGUUUGCAUUUGUUACAGUGUAAGUAGAAUAAAUUAUGUCAUUAAAAAUUAUGAUGUAACUAGGUGUUGUCAAGGUCAAAAACCAAAAAAAGGGUCAAAGUAAAAUAUGAAAUUCUUACAAAAGAUAUUGUAACAUUGUGGAAUGCUAAUUAAAUUGAUGAUUUUUUCCUGAAAAAUCCCCAUACCAGAAUUUAGCCCUGUUCUCAGCAGGGACAUAAAACAUAGUCUCUGCCAACACACCGCAUUCUCCACCAGAAUCCUUGUUCCCGUAGAAAGAUCCUGUUCCCGGCCAGUCACGCUCAUGGUUGCCACUGGAAGGAGAAAUCACCGAUUGCCAAUCACCAAUUGCCUCAUAAGAUGAAGUUCAGGACUAGUUUAUGCUCCAAGAAACUGCUGAGCUACACAAGUAAAUUAUGACGAACCUGGCAAUCAUGUAUGGCACAGUUGAUGCAAUUGGUUCAAUCUGUGCUGUAAACUGGUCCCACUGGGAAAUGUAUCCAUUUGCAUAACAUAUGUCUCCAAUGUGGAAAACUAUGUCAAUGUUCUUCAAGUCUUGAAUAAGCUGUCUGGUGGUGUUAAGAGAAGCAUACUGGAAGUCAUUAUAUUCAUUAGAACCAUCAGCUUCAUCCUGAAACAUGAAACAUGAACAAAUUGCACAUAAGAAGAUGCUGAAACACGGAGAAAGACCUUUAAAGAGAGUACAAAAUGCCUAUGGUACUCUAUGUAUACUUAAAAGUUUCGACAAACACAACUCGCCCUUCGUUAGAUACCAAAAAUAGCUAUGCUAAUAACCUUGAUGGUUAUCAUGAACACAUUGCCAGAUGAAAAGCAAAAUCAAAUAAUAUUUUAGAGAUGAUUAGUUUAAGCAAGAAUAACGAGUAUAAUAUUGAGAAUAAUAACAAAAGGGUAUGUUAAUGCUCAUUCAAAUGUAUGGAUAACCUCAUGCGAUAUUACUUAUAACAAAAUAGAGCUGUCAAUAGAGUAGAUCUUAUCAGUGCCACCAAUUGACAUAAUUUAAAUGUUCUAUAACAGUUCAGACCUUUCCCAUGUCACCGAAAAUGACUACACGUUGCAAAGAAUUUUGACCGGGAUAAGGAGAUGCUUUAAACUGGUAUUCCGAACUCCAAAUAUAAGUGCUGUUGAACAAUCUAUGCCCAACUUUGUAGGUGUACCUACAUAAGAAAAAAGAACAAUAGUCAAAGGCAUACAAUAUGUUAAAGUUCCAUGUGCUGCAAAAGGCUGAUGAAAAUAUUCUAAACACAGUGCUAAAUUAAUAUUUAAUGAUUGUAUUCAAUGGUAAAGAUCUGACUUUAAGAUAGCCAUGUACUAUUGGAUUGCUGCGUAAGAGAGAGCAAAUAGAUCCAGAGCUUAAUUGUGACUUGCCUAACAUCAGAACAGACUUUCAAAUCAACAAAAUAUGAAUGUUAUUGCAUUUCAACAAUUAUUUCUGGGAAAGUAUAAAGUUUCCGCUGAUUAAAUUUCAAAUAAAACCAUGAAAAAUUCAGCAUACUGCAACGAAAUAUAGAUAAGCGUCCAUUAAUUAAGUUAAAUCAGCAUCAUGCACUAAUAUAAGAUGCAGCAUACAUUGCAUUGGGCCACAACUCCUUCAGAAAACUGGUGUGUAUGUACCCAGGAUCACGCCAUCCCACUGUCCGUGCUGGUGCACCUGUGCAUCAAAAUUUGAUAUUAGUCAUCUUCCUUGGGCAAAAGGGCCCAGGAAAAAACUUUAGGGUGACUUUACCCAACGUAGAAAACAAAAGGCCACAAAAUCCAUUGUACUCAGUUACUUUUUUAACUAGGGGAAGCCUUACCGAUUUAAAAAAUAGCAAAGAAGUAACAUUCAGUAACACUUACAGUUAUAGAAUAUCAUUUUAGAGAACAAUCAAAUUAUUAGCUUGCAAUAUACUUUGAAACUAAGUCUUUAGGAUAAGAUGCAGAAAGCAUCAGAAUUUACAUUAUGUACAGCAGACUAUUUUCUAUUUAAUAUCCACUGCUAUAAAUGCAUUUAAUUCAUAAUUUAACAAUAGUUUGACAAUUUUAAGUUAUGGAAAUUCCAGUUAACUCCCAGGUACAUCUUUUGGGUGAAAAUUUAAAAGGCAGAGAAGUUACGCACCACACAUACUCCCACGGUCGAAUGUCAGUGUUCCAGCUGGGGAAUGUGUACGAUCACCUCCUUUUCGGCCCCAUUGGACGAACGCUUCUGCUUCAUUUAUCCCAUAACCACUUGUCCAAGUUACUGUCAUCUGCAUUUAAAAAUAUUGUCAGCUUUAAAGUGAAAUAACGAUGAACAUCGUUGGUAACAUUCAAGUCCAGUUUGCUGGUGGACUUUUGAAUUGAACAGCGUGUCAAUGUAGAGAUAAAUGAUUGUAGAACUUUUAACAUGUUGAAAGUAAUCUCAAAUUACAUGACCUAAAUUUCAAGAGUUUUGAUAAUUACAAUAAAAAAUUGAACUUACUUCAUUCCAUGUUUUUCCUUGUGCCAAGCGUGGGUAAACUGGUGCAUUCGGAUUUGUGAAAGCUAUUUUAUUUGACACUGCAACCAGCUUUGGCUAUUAUCAUAACAAAAGGAAAAACAAAAAAAUUAUAGCAAGAGGAUAAGUAAACAAAUUGAAUCUUUCAGAUGUAAAGAUAGUACUGUAACAUUGAUAAGUCAUAAAUAUCAAAUGAUAGAAUAUUAUUUUAAGAGAUGAAGAAAGACAAACUGGGUUGAUGUUGAGAACAAUAGAAACAGUCCUCCAUAAUAUGUCAUCAAACUUAGUAUAAGAAAAACAAGAUGAGGAAAAUAAGACAAAGAUUAGCAUAGACCAAACCAUUAAUGGUUUCAUUUGGAUCAGGAUGAAGGUUCUAGAAGGAUAAGAGGAAGGUCAGAAGUUAUAUAUUGGUCAAGUCAAAGUCAAAAAUAUGGAUUGCGCUUGUAAUCUAUCAACCAGUUACAAAAAUAUUAUUUCUCUGUGCAAUCGCUAAGCAUCUCAACAAAUUCCUUUAAUAAAGAAAAUAAUUGACAGGCCAACUAAAUAAAUCAUUGUUUCUUCACAAUUUGGGUAUCUAAGGGGUAAAAUCAUUAGGAAAAAUUCGGAUAACCAUAUAAAUUAUGAAGAAAACAACAGUUAGGAGCGUACUUUUAACAAACCACCAGAAAAUAGUGCAACAGAGAAGUCUGAUCUCUGGUUAAUCAACAUAAGCUUCAAUGAUCCUUUGCCUGUACCUUUGUACUGAGGGCUAGAAUAGUUUGCAUACUGAUACUGUCAAGAGAAAUAAGGUAGUUAAGGAUUGAUAUAGGAAUUCCAGCAAACAAUCACUUAAAACCAGGAUAAGAAAGAAGGUAAAAGAGUUGUGGCAAAGAAGCAUAAUGCAAACCUUAAUUGGUGCAGAACACAACAGUGGCGGAUUAACACUUGGGUUUUCUGCAGAGCAAGUGGAUGCACUGGAAAUUGUGAAAGAUAUAUGGUUCCAAUUAGACUAAUAUUAUUCAGCUCAAUCAACAAAGACCAACAAGAAACAUAAAUAUAUGUAUGUCUUAUCAACCCGUUAUGCAUAUAAAAAGCAAAGAAAUAUUUUUUUUACCUGAAAUUCGAAGGAGAAAAUACUGCAAUCCAAUCAUCAACAGAUGGGUUUGGAGAACUAUACUCCACUGUCACCCACUCUGAGUUUUGCCCCUGAAACAGUAAAAUAUAUUUCAGUAAAUGCAAAGUACACUUGUGUUUUUCAUGCUUUAGUGUGUUUAAGAUUUUCGGUGGUUUGUAUUUUGAAGUAGCUUUGACCCAACAGGAGCUUUAACAAAUGCUAAAAUACUAUCUAACUUCAUGACCAUCAAGAGGUAAUCAAAUUAAUUUUGCUUCUCAUGUAUGUUCACCAAAUGAUAAGAAAGAGAAACAAAUUAAAGGAACAUGGUGUUGCUGAAGCUUACCUUCAAUCCAACUACAGCAGGAGAGGCUUUAACAUAGGCAUUGUCAUUAAGAGCAUAUAUAGCCUUACGAAUAGCAAUUCUUGAGAGCGGAUGAUCUCCAUGAGAACUUGCUACUUGAAAGGUUCCAAGAACCAAUAGAAUUCCAAAGAAGAUCAAUCUCAAUUCUCUCAUCCUAACAAGUAUCUAAAAUCAAUCAAAAACAGGAAAGAUGGUAUAAAUCGGUAAGAACGUCUUCUGAAACCCAAAACUUAGAAUUCAAAUCGCAACUUCAAAGCAUGAUAACAACGGUGAAAUAUACCAACUUUUAUCAUUGCUUAUGCCCGGAAAGAAAAAAUUUAAAGCAACACGAUAUCUUUUUCCAAUCUACAAUCUACUGAUGCAAUAAAACAGAGGCUGUCGCGAGUCUAAAUCCAUAUUCAUAAAAUGAUAGCUUUGGCCAAGCAUCUAUCGAGCAUAGCUUGGUAAGCUGCGCUGAAGCCGAGAUAUUAAGAUCCCUCGAUUUACACCUACAAGUGGGGGAGUCCACUUCUCAACCAUAUUUUAAAUCUAACAAAAAGUUCAGUUAUUCUCCAGACACUUGCAAAUAAUAUGAAUAUAAGUGAGAUAAAUAUACGUGAAACCAGAGUCGUUGGCUCAUAAGAUGACAAAUUACAAUUAAACAAUCACAGGAGCAACCGUUUGUACACCAAGAAACAAAUUCUUACUUAGUAUGUUGUACACAGUUCUCAUUCGUCUGACUAGUAGAAAAAUGACAAAUAACCAACUGGCUAUUUAAAGAAGUUGAUGAAAAAAUAAUAAUAUAACAAAACAAAUAACAAUGGUACUGAGUAGUGAACACGGAGUGCUGACCAAGUGGAAUGUAUUAAUGAAAGAGGAUGACGAAUCAGGCAGAAGUUAUUACUGAGAUCGGAUGAAGUGGGUACUUUCAAAUACCGAUCAUUUCAAGUACUAUCGAAUGUAGCACCAGAUCCGAAAGACAGUAAGCCGUUUCUUUCUUACGAAGGAAGGUCUUUUUCAAAUAUUCUACAUCAAUCUUUAUAUGAAACCAAAGGCACGAGUCCACCAAUCUUUUGCUUAAGAAGGAAAUUUAAUUCUGUCACGCGGGCCGCGGGCCACACUAUGUCAACCCUGUUGCCUGCCCAAUUGCCAACUGGGCAGUGGGCGCGCGGUUCCAGAAACGUAAGUAACUUGAUAAGAAUCGUAUUUGGGAAAUUUUCAAUGGUGCCCCUGAUUUUUGGCCUAAAAUCAGCAGAACCCACAGUUUUGGCUUGUUCUGACGUUUCAAUCCACACGGUUGAGGAUUAGACAGAAACAAUCAAGCAUGAAAUAUUUGUAUCCAUGGCUGAAGUCCAUCGCUCUGUUAUCCGAAUUCAACACCACGAUUUAAAUUAAAGCUUAGAUAUUCUAAAUUUUGUACACUUUUAUUGAAUUUUGUGUACACGAAAAUGCCUCUCGUACUACAAUCAUUACAUGGAGGAGGAAAAUACCACUCAAGAGUCAAGUCUAGUCGUGUAAGCCACAUUUGGAGUUGGAAAUAUAUUUACAAAAUCUUGGAGCCCUAUAGUACAAACAUGAAACCAAAGAAAAUAACAUAUAUUAGGAUGUCACAAUAUGAAUUGCAAUUUUUCACAAGAAAUUUUAUUAAACCUGUAACCCCUUGCAAAAACUAGGAUGCAAGAGUCAUGCUCGGGCAACUGUCCACGCUGCAGGCUAAUAUGUCUCUAUAAUCCCGGGAUAUUCUAAAAGAGUCGUAAACUUUUCCGUCUCUGCUCUUCUUAUACUCGAACAAUAGAUUUGAAUGAUCAAAUGCUGUAAGUUUAACAAAC
rnacentral:lncRNA from 1 species